rnacentral:rRNA from 1 species
GACAGAGGCCCCAAGCGUUAGGCGGAAUUACUGGGCGUAAAGCGUGCGCAGGCGGUUGUGCAAGACAGAUGUGAAAUCCCCGGGCUUAACCUGGGAACUGCAUUUGUGACUGCACAGCUGGAGUGCGGCAGAGGGGGAUGGAAUUCCGCGUGUAGCAGUGAAAUGCGUAGAUAUGCGGAGGAACACCGAUGGCGAAGGCAAUCCCCUGGGCCCGCACUGACGCUCAUGCACGAAAGCGUGGGGAGCAAACAGG